rnacentral:piRNA from 1 species
UGCACUCCUAAUUCCAUAACAGAACAGCCA